CCCGCAACGAGCGCAACCCUUGAUCUUAGUUGCCAUCAUUAAGUUGGGCACUCUAAGGGGACUGCCGGGGACAAACCGGAGGAAGGUGGGGAUGACGUCAAAUCAUCAUGCCCCUUAUGACCUGGGCUACACACGUGCUACAAUGGGCGGGACAAAGAGCUGCAAGACCGCGAGGUGGAGCUAAUCUCAUAAAACCGUUCUCAGUUCGGAUUGGAGGCUGCAACUCGCCUACAUGAAGCUGGAAUCGCUAGUAAUCGCGGAUCAGCAUGCCGCGGUGAAUACGUU
rnacentral:rRNA from 1 species